GGAUGCGAUCAUACCAGCACUAAUGCACCGGAUCCCAUUAGAACUCCAAAGUUAAGCGUGCUUGGGCGAGAGUAGUACUAGGAUGGGUGACCUCUUGGGAAGUCCUCGUGUUGCAUUCC
rnacentral:rRNA from 1 species